GAAAUGCGAUAAGUAAUGUGAAUUGCAGAAUUCAGUGAAUCAUCGAAUCUUUGAACGCACAUUGUGCCCGCCAGUAUUCUGGCGGGCAUGCCUGUCCGAGCGUCAUUUCAACCAUCAAGCCCCCGGGCUUGUGUUGGGGACCUGCGGCUGCCCACAGGCCCUGAAAACCAGUGGCGGGCUCGCUGUCACACCGAGCGUAGUAGCAAUCACCUCGCUCAGGGCGUGCUGCGGGUUCCGGCCGUUAAACAGCCUUACAAAACCCAAGGUUGACCUCGGAUCAGGUAGGAAGACCCGCUGAACUUAAGC
rnacentral:misc_RNA from 1 species